AUUCACAAUGGCAACAUGAUCCAUUUUACUUCAUUACUUGUUGUAUACAUAAUGUAGAGAUCGUAUUACACAAAGCCAUGCCACAUUGUCAUGUGCUUGUAGUUUUAAUAUAUUAGACAACUAGGUAUAAAUAAUACAGUAUUAUUGAGUAUCUGAUCAAUAUAUAAAGCCCACAUUCCACAAGAGGCAUAGACAAAGUAUAAACAAACUGAAACUGCUUGUAUUAAGCCGCAGUAUUAAGCCGCAGUAUUAUGUAAAUUGACUGAAAUAUUAUGUAAAUUUCGUCUCUUAUUACGUACAGUCCAGACGCGCAAUCCACUACAGCCUACAACAGCUAUAAUGCUAUAUCUAGUUAAAAUAGAAUAUAUUUACCUUAAGGCCGUACAAAACUUUUUUGUUUUCUCUCGAACGUACUUCGGGAUGUAAGAUUCCGCACCAAAAUUUCGCGGUGCGAGGAAGAAGCUUGUUAUGUUCACAGCGCUCAAUAAGUCUUCAAUAGAACGCUUCGGUUACAUAUCUUUAAGAUAUUGUUAAUUAAGAUAUUGUCGAUCGUCUUUCUCUAAAGCAGCCUUUGCGGUUUCGUGUUUAGAACUUCUGAUAAAUUUUCCGAUUGCCAUAAAACGCACAUGCUAUAAAAUCGGCGGGUACGCCGUACGCGUAUAAUAAUAAGAGACGAAAUUUACAUAAUAUUUCAGUCAAUUUACAUAAAUACAUAGA